AGAGUUUGAUCCUGGCUCAGAUUGAACGCUGGCGGCAUGCCUUACACAUGCAAGUCGAACGGUAACAGCACUUCGGUGGCUGACGAGUGGCGAACGGGUGAGUAAUACAUCGGAACGUGCCCGAGAGUGGGGGAUAACGCAGCGAAAGCUGUGCUAAUACCGCAUACGAUCUACGGAUGAAAGCAGGGGACCGCAAGGCCUUGCGCUCAUGGAGCGGCCGAUGGCAGAUUAGGUAGUUGGUGGGAUAAAUGCUUACCAAGCCGACGAUCUGUAGCUGGUCUGAGAGGACGACCAGCCACACUGGGACUGAGACACGGCCCAGACUCCUACGGGAGGCAGCAGUGGGGAAUUUUGGACAAUGGGCGAAAGCCUGAUCCAGCCAUGCCGCGUGCAGGAUGAAGGCCUUCGGGUUGUAAACUGCUUUUGUACGGAACGAAAAGGUCUUUUCUA
rnacentral:rRNA from 1 species